rnacentral:misc_RNA from 1 species
UCACUACUUGCGUAGGCAGUUGGUUUAGAGUUCCCACCUUUACGUGCUGGCAACUAAACCCAGGGGUUGCGCUCGUUGCUGGACUUAACCAAACACCUCACGGCACGAGCUGACGACAGCCAUGCAGCACCUGUACCGCCCCCCUUGCGGGUAGCCCACUUUCAUGGGUUUAGACGGCCUUUCAAGCCUAGGUAAGGUUCUUCGCGUUGCAUCGAAUUAAACCACAUGCUCCACUGCUUGUGCGGGCCCCCGUCAAUUCCUUUGAGUUUCACCCUUGCGAGCGUACUCCCCAGGUGGAUCACUUAAUGCGUUAGCUCCGGCACCGACCUUGCGGCCGACACCAAGUGAUCAUCGUUUAGGGCAUGGACUAC